rnacentral:rRNA from 1 species
UUGACGGUAUCUGAGGAAUAAGACAUCGGCUAACUCUGUGCCAGCAGCCGCGGUAAGACAGAGGAUGCAAGCGUUAUCCGGAAUGAUUGGGCGUAAAGCGUCUGUAGGUGGCUUAAAAAGUCUCCUGUCAAAGAUCAGGGCUUAACCCUGGGCCGGCAGGAGAAACUCUUACGCUAGAGUUUGGUAGGGGCAKAGGGAAUUCCCGGUGGAGCGGUGAAAUGCGUAGAGAUCGGGAGGAACACCAAAGGCGAAAGCACUCUGCUGGGCCAUAACUGACACUGAGAGACRAAAGCGAGGGGAGCAAAAGGGAUUAGAUACCCCUGUAGUCCUCGCCGUAAACGAUGGAUACUASAUGUUGGGUAGGUUAAAUCACUCWGUAUCGUAUCUAACGCGUGAAGUAUCCCGCCUGGGGAGUAUGCUCGCAAGASUGAAACUCAAAUGAAUUGACGG